rnacentral:rRNA from 1 species
UGGCGGCGUGCCUAACACAUGCAAGUCGAGCGAGAAGCUCUUGACGGAUUCUUCGGAUGACGGAGAGAGUGGAAAGCGGCGGACGGGUGAGUAACGCGUGGGCAACCUGCCUCUCACAGAGGGAUAGCCAUUGGAAACGAUGAUUAAAACCUCAUAACACUGCAUUUUCACAUGUAGAAGCAGUCAAAGAUUUAUCGGUGAGAGAUGGGCCCGCGUCUGAUUAGCUGGUUGGUGAGGUAACGGCUCACCAAGGCGACGAUCAGUAGCCGACCUGAGAGGGUGAUCGGCCACAUUGGAACUGAGACACGGUCCAAACUCCUACGGGAGGCAGCAGUGGGGAAUAUUGCACAAUGGGCGAAAGCCUGAUGCAGCAACGCCGCGUGAAGGAAGAAGGCCUUCGGGUCGUAAACUUCUGUCCUAGGGGAAGAAGAACUGACGGUACCCAAGGAGGAAGCCCCGGGCUAACUACGUGCCAGCAGCCGCGGUAAUACGUAGGGGGCAAGCGUUAUCCGGAAUUAUUGGGCGUAAAGAGUGCGUAGGUGGCACCUUAAGCGCAGGGUUUAAGGCAAUGGCUCAACCAUUGUUCGCCCUGCGAACUGGGGGGCUUGAGUGCAGGAGAGGAAAGCGGAAUUCCUAGUGUAGCGGUGAAAUGCGUAGAUAUUAGGAGGAACACCAGUGGCGAAGGCGGCUUUCUGGACUGUAACUGACACUGAGGCACGAAAGCGUGGGGAGCAAACAGGAGUAGAUACCCUGGUAGUCCACGC